rnacentral:tRNA from 1 species
UGUCCGUUGGUCUAAUUGGCAAGACACCGGUUUCUGGUACCGGAUGAUUCAGGUUCGAGUCCUGAGCGGACAGCCA